UGAGCAACCCAUAGGAACUGCUAAAACAGAAAGGCUCGGGGAUCCAGGCCUGCCUGUUAUUUUUAUCAUUUUAUACAUUAUAUUUCUAAAAUCAUUUAUUUAUUUAUUUGGUUUUUCGAGACAGGGUUUCCCUGUGUAACAAUCCUAGCUGUCCUUGUAGGCCGCACGACCUCAACGACAUCUUCCAGGACGUCUCCUCCGCCACCGGGAACCUGCGACGACGGCGGCUGCGGCACCGGGAAACGGCAGCCUCUGAGGCGGAAACACUCUCCUUGGGAAACGGAAAUGCCUCUUCCGGGGCCGCAAAGGACACUGGGAGAGUGAGUCCUGAUUAUGCCACGGUGACAAUCGAGGUGGCAGAAGCGGAAACACCCCCUCACGGAGUCGCCAAGGACGCUGGGAGAGCGAGUUUUGAAGACGCCACGGUGCCUGUUGACGCGGCGGAAACAGCCGCCGCGGAUUUUGGGAUAUUAUAGGCUAAAGCGUGGCUUCCUGAUGGGGCAGGUAGUGGAGCAUGAGUGCAGUCACCAACUAGACUCAAGUUUUGUGAACUUCAGUGUGCUAAGUACACGGGCUCAUGGUUUUGAUGCUUUUUCUUCGUGAGAACUGAGUCAACAGACACACAGAUCAGACUGGGCAUGACCACCUGGAGGGCAGCUGGUAUUUCCUUCACUGAGCACUUUCAAGUCCUCUACGUGGCGCAUCAGUAGGACCCAAUCAUCCCGCAAUUUCUUCUUCUCCUGCCUCAGCAGGUCCACCUUCUUCUCCAGCUGACUAUGUUGCAUCAGGACCCAGCUGUGGAGACCACUGGA